GAUGAACGCUGGCGGCGUGCCUAAUACAUGCAAGUCGAGCGAACGGACGAGAAUCUUGCUUUUCUGAUGUUAGCGGCGGACGGGUGAGUAACACGUGGAUAACCUACCUAUAAGACUGGGAUAACUUCGGGAAACCGGAGCUAAUACCGGAUAAUAUUUUGAACCGCAUGGUUCAAAAGUGAAAGACGGUCUUGCUGUCACUUAUAGAUUGAUCCGCGCUGCAUUAGCUAGUUGGUAAGGUAACGGCUUACCAAGGCAACGAUGCAUAGCCGACCUGAGAGGGUGAUCGGCCACCCUGGAACUGAGACACGGUCCAGACUCCUACGGGAGGCAGCAGUAGGGAAUCUUCAGCAAUGGGCGAAAGCCUGACGGAGCAACGCCGCGUGAGUGAUGAAGGUAUUCGGAUCGUAAAACUCUGUUAUUAGGGAAGAACAUAUGUGUAAGUAACUGUGCACAUCUUGACGGUACCUAAUCAGAAAGCCACGGCUAACUACGUG
rnacentral:rRNA from 1 species